CCUACGGGUGGCAGCAGUGAGGAAUAUUGGUCAAUGGACGAGAGUCUGAACCAGCCAAGUAGCGUGAAGGAUGACUGCACUAUGGAUUGUAAACCUCUUUUAUAUGGGAAUAAAGUGUUCCACGUGUGGGCUUUUGUAUGUACCAUAUGAAUAAGCAUCGGCUAACUCCGUGCCAGCAGCCGCGGUAAUACGGAGGAUCCGAGCGUUAUCCGGAUUUAUUGGGUUUAAAGGGUGCGUAGGUGGAUUGUUAAGUCAGUUGUCAAAGUUUGCGGCUCAACCGUAAGAUUGCAGUUGAAACUGGCAGUCUUGAGUACAGUAGAGGUAUGCGGAAUGCGUGGUGUAGCGGUGAAAUGCUUAGAUAUCACGCAGAACUCCGAUUGCGAAGGCAGCAUACUGGACUGCAACUGACACUGAGGCUCGAAAGUGUGGGUAUCGAACAGGAUUAGAUACCCGUGUAGUC
rnacentral:rRNA from 1 species